UUAUGUGCUAUCCAUCUAUUGAAAUACAAAUUUAUUUAAAAAAAAUAUAAUGUGUUGCCAUUUGCUUAGUUGAACCAAAUGUGUGCUGUGUUGCAAAGUUGUCUUUUUUGUGAAUUAAUCGUUGCAAUGUACAUUGUAUAUUCCAGCACUUAUAUAUUACGCCACAUAAAAAAAAAAACAACUGAAGAUAACAAAGGGAUAUUCAUUAAGUCGACAACAAACUCAAACGCCAUGGCAAUAAACGAAAAAGUACGAAAAAACAAACAACAGUAUGCACAAUACAACAUUUAAAACUAAAGGCUGCCUAACACGAACCAAAACAAAAACGGCUAUCUUAAGUACUAAGGUUGGGAAAGCAGAUCUUGCUCAAUAGGUGGCACACGUCGUGUUGCUCGUGCUCUUUAAAAUUCAGAUAUAAAUCUCAUUCGAUGUUGUUACGUUCGAGAAAAAUAUGGAAGGACAAAUGAUUGCAGAACAAAAAUGUUAUAAGCAAAUUUGCUAUUGAUAUUAUGUUUUUCGAAACCACGAACUGAUUAAUUAAUAUUAGCCUCCUCAUAGUCACUAUUUUAAAUACUGUAUACAGAGUAUUCAACCUGCAUUUUUCAAAUAAUGUUCUGAUAUUAAGAGCAAUUCUCUGUAACCACCAACCAUUUUAUAUAGGGGUUCGGCACGCAUAGUCAUCGAUUUUCCUGAAACUUAGUAUAACUAAAUAAUUAGGUGCAAAAGUAAGAAAAAUGCCUCCCAAAGAAUUGCAAGGCCACGGCUGUCAUGGCAACCAAGUCGAUGAGCUUUCCCGUACAUUGUGGGGAAUUUAGCAUUGAAAAAACAACUCAUUUGCAGGCAUUGUGAAGCAAAACCAGAUUUUAUUUUAAUAUUUUUUAAUGUUUUUUCUUAAAAACAGAUGCAUAACAAAUAUUACAGCAAUGUCCUAUAUAUAAAAAAAAAUAUUUUGACUGAAAAUUGUCACAACCACAAGAACAGAGGUCAUUUUUCAUUGUAUUUGUGAAGGCAAAUUAUACACAUUUUGCAUAAACAACAUAUACAGUUUUACAUCCACCUCCAUUUAAAUUGUAGUUAAAAUAUAAAGUAUCAAUGUUUGUAGUCAAUAAUUAACAACAAAAUGUUUGGGAUUCGAGGUCUGGGAUGGUUGCUAUGGAAACCAAAAAGUUUUGUUUUUGUUUGUUUGUUUGUUUUUUUUUUUUUUUUCAGAAAUUCGAACAUUUGUUUACAUUUGUAAAACAUCAGGAAAAAUAAUUACUUUCUAUUUGACCCAAGACACUCGUUUUUACUACUAAAACGGUCAUUUAAACUGAACAACUUUUAAAUACCUGAAUUUACACCAAAGACAAAUGUCAAGAUCUUUUUCAGUUAUUCAGUACACAUUCAGUACACUGGCCUGUGUAGCAGGAGAUUUAGUACUAGUCAGUACUUGUUCAGGUUAUUAAGAAAAAAAACGCUUUACAGUUGAUUCAAAAGUGUCUAGUACGUUUUAGUACUUGUCAGUUCAUCGAUAGAAUAUUUGUCCAGUACUGUUCAGUGUAUCGAAAUAAUAUAAGAAUUACUUCCCUUUAAUAAGCAGAGAAAACGAAGUGAAAAAAAAAACUACUGAAUAAUUAAAUAAACAAUUAAAUAUAAAGAUUCAUAAUAGGCAAAUGGACUUGAUACACGUUCUUGCUUCAUUUUUAUAAAUUAAAAAAAAAAAAAAGAAUGACUGUUAAAAUAUAAAAUAUCAAACAAAAUGAAAAAAUAAUAUUAUCUUUUACUGAAAUGUUACACAAAAAUCAGAUAUUGAAACUCAUUCGUAAAGGUUAGAAUUGGGGAUAGUCCCAAUAGCUUCCGACAAAUAUCCACGCUAUGAUUUCGCGCCAUUUGUCAUUUGAUAAAUCUUUGCAGUGUCCGAUUGAAGUAACGUAAGUACAUUAGUUGAAGAUAUUUUGACAGUUUUGAUUUGUAUACAUAUGGGUCGGGUUGUUGUCUCUUUAACAUAUUCCCCAUUUCCAUUCUCAAUUUUAUACAUACAUUCCUAAGCUAUACAAGAGUGUUUGUUUGAUUUGUGAAAUAACUCCUUGAAUGAUCAUUAACUAUUGAUACCGACGACCGGAUCAAGCAUUUUCAUAAAAAGGGGGAUUUGGUUAUGUAGCUGUUCAUUGAAAUCUCUGUGUUUCGACAUUUACACUUAAACCACAUAGUUUAAUCUAAAACGAGCAGCUGGUCAUGUCAAGCAUUAAUAGUAAGAAGUUCAGCCUUAGCGUCAAAAUAUUCAAGGACAUUUCAACGGUAGCAACAUUAUCAGUGACCAAGUGACAAAAGAGCAGUAUCGGACCUAGGACUAAUAUAUUAGUGUAAUAGUCCCAGAUCGGACGGAUAAAAUUUUAAAUUGUUUGAUAUGGAAAAAACUAUUACAUUAGUUUUAAAUGGUUUGUCAACAUUAUAUUUGCACAAUCAGACGUCGGGUCAAGAAGUUUUAAAAGUUUUAUCUUUACACACCAAUCUCAAGUUCUUUUUUUUUUUUGGAAUGAGUAACACCGGUUGCGAUCAAAGCAAUUGACAACGUAAUACCAUAAGCAUUGUAACAUAGGAAAUUUACUAGAAAAUGCACGACGAAGGUCAUCUAUUUUAAUGCAAAAAAUCUCCUUCUGAUACGUGAAGUCCCUUAUGUUAUGAAAAUUUUGCAUGAAAAGAUAUGUUUUUCCUAUACAGCUUAACUAAAAUUAAAGAUGAUACGUGGUAGGAAAAAAAUGUAAAAUUUGCUAUUGAAUGACAUUAUGUUGUCAUGUCUAAUGAUAUGUCUUAAUUAUUUCUCUUUCUGAUUUGCUUAAAGAGUCUAAAUCUGGCGUCAAAGUUCUUGAGAAGUGGUGGUCCGAAGGUUUUGACCAUCAAAUUUUUGCUAAGGACCUACACAAUUUUGGUAAUUUUCAAAAGAUAUAAAAGUUGGGACCAGCAGAUUUUCUUUAAAGACCAGCAUGGAAAAACAUAUUUUGAGAACUCUGGAAGUAUUACAUUUGUGAGGAUUUCGGAUAAACGGACAUUACAUUAACGUGAUAGCGUGAAAAUAUUACAGUUGCGCAACUUUAAGUAUAUAGAUCAACCUGUAUAUUUACCAUGCUAGUGAAUACAACACAAUGUUAAAUCAUAUCAUAUUUUAAACUGAGCAAAUAUCCAUUUAAUUGUUUGGUGUCAUUUGAACCACAACAACAUUUAUUAUGGAACCAGAACUAUAACUAUUGAUAACAAAUAGUAAUUAAAGGCAAAACUUAGAACUAAUGAAAUUUCUACCACCUAUAUGUCUUGGACCUCUGCUACAUAAAGCCAUAUGACUAGUACCCUAGGCAAAAGACAAAACGACUUGUAUAUGUCAUAUUUACUUUUUUAAUUUAGUUUGCCUCAACCAAAUGUUAUGAAACUUAUUAUCCAUUUGUAAUUAUAUAUGCAGUACAUUAUAUUGCUGUAUAAGCGGAUGUGCAUCGAUGUUUACAGUCAUUAUCACCAACAAAAAGUAAAGUAAAGCAUAGCAAACAGGAGUGCACUGUUUUGCAGAGGCGGGAGUCCAAUGAGCGAAAAGUCACGAUGCUCUCAAUUCAGAGAUUCACUCGAUUAAUGAAAGUAGGAAAAACUCAGUGUCGGACUAUUGAGGGUCGGAAGAUUAAAGUUGGAAUUUCUAAAAUAAAAGUUGAUAAUUCCAAAAUAGCGUCGACAACUUGAAAAAGUAAGAUAAAAAAGGAUGGCCCUAAUACGCUUCCGUACAUUAAAGAUCAUAUCUCAUCUAUUCAUUUUUAGCUUACCUGGCUGAAAGGCUAAGUGAGCUUUUCUCAUCACUUGUGUCCUUCGUCCGUCAUCGUCGUUCGUUAAUAUUUACAAAAUUCUUCUACUCUGAAACCAUUGGGCCAAAUUUAACCAAACUCGGCCACAAUCAUUAUUGUGGUAUCUAGUUUUAAAUAUGUGUCUAAUGACACAACUUGCCAAAUAAGAAUGCGGACAUGGAUAAAAAAGAACAUAGGGGUAAAAUACAAGUUUUGCUUAUUUUUUUUUAAAACCACUAUAAAUAGAGAAAUUCUGACUAAGCAGAAAUAAUAUAUUGAGCUCUAACCAUUGUCCAUUUACGUCCAAACUGUCAGUCAUGUAGGAAUUAUUGCUCUAAAAAGACUAAUUUUACCAUUUUAAAAAUGUUAACCCUAUUCAUGCUAUUAUCUCGAAAGUUAAAAAAUAAAUAGAUACAUGUACAUUGUAAAUAGAAACUUUAGAAAGGAAAAUUAUCAACAGGAAUAGAUCUACAAAUAUGUCAACAUGACUGCUAUUGUCAGUUAAAAAAAAUUUGUUAACCUUUAAUGAUGAUUUUUUUAUUAAAAGGGGGUCAUUAUUGAAGAUGCGGGUAAUUGACACAGGCUCUUUGGAGCCUCUAGUUACAUAGUGCACCUGAGAUAAAAUAUUACUUAUUAUGAUAUAUAUAUUAAGAUAAAUGUAUAUAGGUUGAUGUCUUUUUGUAUUACUCUGACAUAUACUUUCUAUUUGAAUAUGAGACUUUGAACCUCUGAAUUAUUGUAGCUUUAAACUGUCAACCUAUCAAAUUGACUUUUGGAAAUUAACAGGUUUUUUCUCACCCAAAAUUUCAAUUGAAGUAAACUGCAUCAUUUGAAGAAAACUGCAAUUUUUUAAAUUUGAAAAAAAAAAACACACAGCUCAACACGCUGUGAUUUUUCAGGUUAUUUUUUUAACAAAGACAACCCCUGUUAUUCAGUUGUGCGUUUUGAUUCAUGGCUGUCAUAUUUUUAUUCCUAAAUUGUAUUAUAGAUAAGGACACUAGUUUUCUCAUUCACAUUGGUUCGCAUUAUUUAUGUGGGACAUUGUAUAGCUGGCUAUAAAUUAUGGGGUUUCUCAUUGUUGAGGGCUGUACGGGGACCUAUAGUUGCUUAUAUCUUUGUAAUUUGAACUCUGGUGUAGGGUUUUCUCAGUGGCAAUCAUACCACAUCUCUUUAUUCAUUUUAUUUAUAUAUUGAUUAUGGCAUUGGUUUUCUCUUUUGAAUAUUUCAUAAUUUGUCAUGGUGGGACUUUUAUUCUCACUAUAUAUAUGAUAUAUAUAUAUGGGUUCUGCUCAUUGUUGAUUAUCGGGUUAGCGGACAGAAAGUCACAGGACAAAACGUCACAAACAAUUUGUUUAUAAUUGUUUGCAUAUAUAAGAGAGAGUUCUUGAAAUAAUUUCUUUUUAUUAUAUAUAUUCAUUUCACAAUUUAGAAAAUUGUUCAGAAGCCUUGACAAAGAAUAUUUACCAAAUUUUAACAUUGCAAAGGAUAUAUUUCUUGGCAACAUGAAACCAUGUAAGUAUCAAGUCACUUCGACCAGUUGUUUUCUUAACAAAUAUUUGAUUAGUAUUGCUCAUUUUAAAAUACAGUUUGUUUACAAAGUUACUUUAUAUCUAAUGGUUCAAGAAAAAUACAAAAAUAUUUUUUUUUUAAAUAAAUGUUUUCUUCUUCAAAUAAAAAUCAUCUCAAAACUGAAUUGUGUCUUUUUGUCCAAUAACUUUUUGUCCGUGACUUUAUGUCCUACAUUCUGUUAUGGCACAGUAAUCUGUUGAUUUUAAACGAUAGAUAGUAAACAAUAGCUGUCGGUUGGUCUCCGCUUAAUAGUUUCGCAAUGGUAUGACAUCUCCUUAUCGGUGAUGUCCAGAAUUUAUGACAGAAAGCUCCAAAGAAAAGGGUACAGGAAAAGUCAUAAUUAAGUUUUAUGAUAUAUAUUUGCCUUUGAUUUACAAUGUGAAAGAGCUAUUUUUAAGUUAUAUUUUGUAUUUUGUGAACCAUCAUAUUUAAAACAACUGUGUAAACAAACUUAAUUGUCCUGAUAUUCAUUGUUAUCUAGAAAGUAUCCUAUUGAAAUAAAAUGUCAAUUUUAAGUUAAUUUGUUCAUCACAAAUAUUUUUAUAUAUAUACAAUACAUGUAUAAAAUAUAUAAUAUAUUUACUGAAUAUGAAUUCAUGACCAUGCACAUGUGAAAUGAGAACAGGUUAUAAUCCAGAUCAAGAAUUUGUAUAUACAAACUUGUCAUGAUGUUAACAUUGUAUUUGUAAUAAUCAGAAAUUAGAAUAAACCUACUAUAGGUAAUAAACAGAUGUCAUUAAAACUAUCAAUUGCCUACAGGCAUGACAGGGGUGAAUUUCUUACUGUCAUGGGUAUUGCAGAUGACUUAAAUGAUUUUCACAAAUGUAUAUAUUAAAUAGCCCCUUCAUUAUGUUUAAUAUCUUCAAGUGAUUUUUGGAAAUAUUCAAAAUAAUUCUAAAAGGAAGAAUUAUUAAGCAACAUGAUAUAAUUUUAUUCUAGUAUUUUUAAGGUUAAUUGAGUAUUUAUUGAUCAACUUUAACAUUGAUAAAAAUUGUAAAGCAUUGAUUAAUACAAAAUGUAAUAAGUAGUUCAAACACAAAUGUCAAAUGAGUCCAAGGGUUUACUGUUAAAUUUUAGAAGGAAAUGAUAGCUAUUUUAGGUGGAGAACUUUUCCUAUAAAAUACAUUAAGGACAAAGAUUAUCAAUUUCAUGUUUUCAUGACACAAAUUCACUAAAUGCACUUACUUAACCAAGUCUAAAGAACUUUUUUGCUGGCUUUUUUCUGUAAUCUUCUAUUCUUUAAUUUUAGUUACUAUCACCAAAUUACAUUAGACAAUAUGCCUAUUUUUCUAUAUUAAUUGAAAAAGAAAUCACCUGAUGGAAGAGACUUUGGAUGAGGUGUGCGGAAUAGAGAAUAAUGGGCAAAACGUGCAGAAUAAAGUGGACAAAAUAAAGAACAAAAUGAAAUAAGUGAAAAAAAAAAAAAAAUAGAAUAUAUAGAAUAAUAGUUUGCUGAAAUAUAAAGCAUAGAGAAUAAUGGGGUGCUAAAUUUUUUUAACGAAUAGAGAAUAAGGAUCUAAGAAAUUAAAUAAUGAAGAAAUAAGCCCCCCUUCCAGACCCUUAUGAAUGGAAUCACUUAAAAAGAUAUAUGAUGUUAGCCUUAUUUAGACAGUAACCUUAUAAUAAUAGUAUGCACGGAAGAAAAAACUGAAUGUAAAAAAAGGCAAAAUCUUUUAGAAUUAAGGCAACUUUGAAUAGAUACAGAUUUAAAACAUACUACAUGUACUAAAGACUAUGUUGGUGUCAUAUUUAUUUAUAUGCCCCCGCCAUAGGCAAUAAGGGCAUUAAGUGUUAGCUUUGACCUUUCUUUCUUCUAACCGUCCGUCCCAUUUUCGUUUCCGCACUCUAACUUAAGAUUUCCUCAUCCAAAUGUAAUGAAACUCAUAUAUAUUGCUAAGAACCACAACACACAAACAGUUUUGGAGUGAAUCAUUUGCCGUUCUAUAGUUAUGACCUUUUUUAACUUAGAAAAUUGCAAAACUUGAGCGGGGGUAUUUCUGUCCUCAGACACAUUUUUCUUUUCUUUUAUUUUAUUUUCUCCUAACAGAAAACUAUUUUUUUGAAAGGAGAAAGCUAUAAAAAAAUGAAAUAUGUAUACACAUAUGAGUGCAGUGUUAGCUGUUGAUUAAUAAUUUCAUAUGUUUUCAUUAUUUCUUAUUUACUUUUUCUAUAUGUAUGAAACUAAAAUAGAUAGUUUACAAUAUGUGCAUUGCAAAUAAAAUAAUCAUAAAAGUAAGACAACUUUAAAUAUUCAAUUGAUAAUAUUGUAGUCUUGGAAUAAUAUAAAACACGAUGUGGUAUGUUUGCCAGUGAGAACUAUAGCUGUCAACCAGAGACCAAAUAACAUGAAUGGAGUAGAUGUUUAUAGUUUUUGUAUUUGGUCUUUUUUUAAGAAAUACUUAUAGCAAUAGGUCAGCUAUAUUUGUUGUUUGGAUACUUCUAAGGUGUGCAUGUGUGUCUUGCAGGUAUCAUAUGAUUGUCUUUAUAUUCAUGUUUCGUGGGUCAAUUUAAAGUUUUAGGGUUUUGGCAUGUUUUUCAAUUACCAUAAGCAAUAGGUCAACUGUAUUUGGUGUAUGGAAUAAUUGUAAGGUGCACAUUCUUUCUAACAGGAUUGAUAUGACCUUGACAUCACUGUCAUGGAUCUUUAGAAAUGUAAAGUGUAUGUGAAGCCAUUAGCUUUCUUGUUUGAAUUGUCUUUCAUUUUUGAAUGUUGUGGCCUUGGUCGCUGACUAAUACAUUGUGAGUUUUUUUAACCUGAAUUUAAUUUAUUUUUUUUUUUUUUUUUUUUUGUAGGAUCAAUUAGAAGUGCCACAAUUAAGGAUAGAUUCAAGAUAUGAAGAAGUAAAUAAGCUUAGAAAUGAUUCAAACCUUCCUGGAGGAGCAAAUUUUGUGAAGAAGACAGCAGAUAUCAAACGAAAUAAAAAGAAUGGAACGAAAGGAAAACUGAAAAAGAACAAUGAUAUGACAAUAUAUAAUAUUUUUUUUUCAUUUCUUAGUGUUGCUAUCUUGUAUAGUGUUGACUAAGGCAGCAAAGAAAACAGUCAAAAAGCUGUUCAGAAAAAAAAAGUCAGAUGCUACACGUGAUUAAAUAAGAGAUUAUGAAAUA